UGGGGAAUAUUGCACAAUGGGCGAAAGCCUGAUGCAGCGACGCCGCGUGAGGGAUGACGGCCUUCGGGUUGUAAACCUCUUUCAGUAGGGACGAAGCGCAAGUGACGGUACCUGCAGAAGAAGCACCGGCUAACUACGUGCCAGCAGCCGCGGUAAUACGUAGGGUGCGAGCGUUGUCCGGAAUUACUGGGCGUAAAGAGCUCGUAGGCGGUUUGUCACGUCGUCUGUGAAAUCCUAGAGCUUAACCCUGGACGUGCAGGCGAUACGGGCUGACUUGAGUACUACAGGGGAGACUGGAAUUUCUGGUGUAGCGGUGGAAUGCACAGAUAUCAGGAAGAACACCGAUGGCGAAGGCAGGUCUCUGGGUAGUAACUGACGCUGAGGAGCGAAAGCAUGGGUAGCGAACAGG
rnacentral:rRNA from 1 species